rnacentral:rRNA from 1 species
AUUGAACGCUGGCGGCAUGCCUUACACAUGCAAGUCGAACGGUAACGCGGGGCAACCUGGCGACGAGUGGCGAACGGGUGAGUAAUGUAUCGGAACGUGCCCAGUUGUGGGGGAUAACUGCUCGAAAGAGCAGCUAAUACCGCAUACGACCUGAGGGUGAAAGCGGGGGAUCGCAAGACCUCGCGCAAUUGGAGCGGCCGAUAUCAGAUUAGGUAGUUGGUGGGGUAAAGGCCCACCAAGCCAACGAUCUGUAGCUGGUCUGAGAGGACGACCAGCCACACUGGGACUGGGACACGGCCCAGACUCCUACGGGAGGCAGCAGUGGGGAAUUUUGGACAAUGGACGCAAGUCUGAUCCAGCCAUGCCGCGUGCGGGAAGAAGGCCUUCGGGUUGUAAACCGCUUUUGUCAGGGAAGAAAAGGGCGACUUUAAUACAGUUGCCUCAUGACGGUACCUGAAGAAUAAGCACCGGCUAACUACGUGCCAGCCGCCGCCGUAAAAC